UACGUAGGUGGCAAGCGUUGUCCGGAUUUACUGGGCGUAAAGAGCGCGCAGGCGGUCGUUCAAGUCGCGUGUGAAAGCCCCCGGCUCAACUGGGGAGGGUCACGCGAUACUGAUCGACUCGAAGGCAGGAGAGGGUAGUGGAAUUCCCGGUGUAGUGGUGAAAUGCGUAGAUAUCGGGAGGAACACCAGUGGCGAAGGCGACUACCUGGCCUGUUCUUGACGCUGAGGCGGCGAAAGCUAGGGGAGCAACGGG
rnacentral:rRNA from 1 species